rnacentral:rRNA from 1 species
GACGAACGCUGGCGGCGUGCCUAAUACAUACAAGUUGAGCGCUGAAGGUUGGUACUUGUACCGACUGGAUGAGCAGCGAACGGGUGAGUAACGCGUGGGGAAUCUGCCUUUGAGCGGGGGACAACAUUUGGAAACGAAUGCUAAUACCGCAUAAAAACUUUAAACACAAGUUUUAAGUUUGAAAGAUGCAAUUGCAUCACUCAAAGAUGAUCCCGCGUUGUAUUAGCUAGUUGGUGAGGUAAAGGCUCACCAAGGCGAUGAUACAUAGCCGACCUGAGAGGGUGAUCGGCCACAUUGGGACUGAGACACGGCCCAAACUCCUACGGGAGGCAGCAGUAGGGAAUCUUCGGCAAUGGACGAAAGUCUGACCGAGCAACGCCGCGUGAGUGAAGAAGGUUUUCGGAUCGUAAAACUCUGUUGGUAGAGAAGAACGUUGGUGAGAGUGGAAAGCUCAUCAAGUGACGGUAACUACCCAGAAAGGGACGGCUAACUACGUG